rnacentral:rRNA from 1 species
CCCCAGACUCCUACGGGAGGCAGCAGUGGGGGAUAUUGCACAAUGGGGGGAACCCUGAUGCAGCGACGCCGCGUGGGUGAAGGAGCACCUCGGUGCGUAAAGCCCUCUCGGCAGGGAAGAAACAGACGGUACCUGACUAAGAAGCCCCGGCUAACUACGUGCCAGCAGCCGCGGUAAUACGUAGGGGGCAAGCGUUAUCCGGAUUCACUGGGUGUAAAGGGAGCGUAGACGGCGACGCAAGUCUGGAGUGAAAGCCCGGGGCCCAACCCCGGGACUGCUCUGGAAGCUGCGUCGCUGGAGUACGGGAGGGGCAGGCGGAAUUCCUGGUGUAGCGGUGAAAUGCGUAGAUAUCAGGAGGAACACCGGCGGCGAAGGCGGAUUGCUGGACAGUAACUGACGCUGAGGCGCGAAAGCGUGGGGAGCAAACAGGAUUAGAUACCCCAGUAC